rnacentral:rRNA from 1 species
CCUACGGGAGGCAGCAGUGGGGAAUAUUGCACAAUGGGGGCAACCCUGAUGCAGCGACGCCGCGUGAGUGAUGAAGUAUUUCGGUAUGUAAAGCUCUAUCAGCAGGGAAGAUAAUGUCGGGUCCUGACUAAGAAGCUCCGGCUAAAUACGUGCCAGCAGCCGCGGUAAUACGUAUGGAGCAAGCGUUAUCCGGAUUUACUGGGUGUACAGUGAUCGCAGACGGCAGGGCAAGUCUGAUGUGAAAGUCCGGGGCUCAACCCGGGGACUGCAUUGGAAACUGUCCGGCUAGAGUGCAGGAGAGGUAAGUAGAAUUCCUGGUGUAGCGGUGAAAUGCGUAGAGAUCAGGAGGAACACCAGUGGCGAAGGCGGCUCACUGGAC